rnacentral:tRNA from 1 species
AGGAUUUUAGUUAAAAUUAUAACAAUUAUAUUGCAUAUAAAUAUUAAAGUUUUCUUUAAAUCUUA